CCUACGGGAGGCAGCAGUGGGGAAUAUUGGACAAUGGGCGCAAGCCUGAUCCAGCCAUGCCGCGUGAGUGAUGAAGGCCUUAGGGUUGUAAAGCUCUUUCAGUGGGGACGAUAAUGACGGUACCCACAGAAGAAGCCCCGGCUAACUUCGUGCCAGCAGCCGCGGUAAU
rnacentral:rRNA from 2 species